UAGGGAAUAUUGGACAAUGGGCGAAAGCCUGAUCCAGCAAUGCCGCGUGAGUGAGGAAGGCCUUAGGGUUGUAAAGCUCUUUCGCACGCGACGAUGAUGACGGUAGCGUGAGAAGAAGCCCCGGCUAACUUCGUGCCAGCAGCCGCGGUAAUACGAAGGGGGCGAGCGUUGUUCGGAAUUACUGGGCGUAAAGGGCGCGUAGGCGGCCCGUUUUGUCAGGCGUGAAAGCCCUGGGCUCAACCUGGGAAUUGCGCUUGGGACGGAUGGGCUAGAGAUCGGGAGAGGAGAGUGGAAUUCCCAGUGUAGAGGUGAAAUUCGUAGAUAUUGGGAAGAACACCAGUGGCGAAGGCGGCUCUCUGGACCGAUACUGACGCUGAGGCGCGAAAGCGUGGGGAGCAAACAGGAUUAGAUACCCCGGUAGUCC
rnacentral:rRNA from 1 species